UUUCUACUCUGAGGACCCUAUCUUGCACUCAGCGCAAUUGCCUCUGUACACCGACGCAUGUAUCAUUCCUAUUUUACACCCCACGCACAGGGGACUUUUCCCUCCACAGACGGACGUAGGUAAAUUAGGGAAUGUAUUUGUGCCCCCGGGGCGGUUCAGCAAAAAGAGGAGGCGUGUUCAGGCGCAAAUGUUCCCUGGUGCUAUUUUGCAGUUUCAGAAAACAAUUCCGCCACUGACCAGGAAAAACAUGGUCUAAAGUCAGUGGUGCUAGUCUAAAGUCAG